CGUGGGGAGGCAGGGGUUGGAGAAGGGAGCUCAGUGACCAGAUGCUUGGCUUUACAGAAUCUCCCCAGGUAUCCUAGCAAGUGUAAGACUGGAUGUCACCUUUCCUGUGCCUCAGGCCUAUUUAAUUUUUCUUCUCUCUUUCUAGGCCUUUCUUGCUGUUUUGAAGUGUUUUGCUUGCAUACUUUAUAUCAUAGUAUAGGUAUAAUAUAAUGCUGAUCAAAACCUCAACAAACCUGCCUUACACAUAUAAGAUCUUCUGGUGAUCUCACCUAAGUGACCCUCAAGAAAACCCCAUAAAACAGGCAAAUUGUUGUGAAUCAAGAAAAGAAGAAACUACUUCUUUGGAGUGUACUUGUUACUGAUCCUGCUGUCAGUGUGAAUGCCCUGCACCCUGGUGUUCCUGAGCACAGAACUGCAGAAGGGCGUCAGUGAGUAACAGAGACAUAGGAAUUAUUUCAGCUACUGCCGUUUCUGGACUGAAUCAAAGGGUGGGUUGUUUUCGAAACGUCACACUUCGUGUUUGAAUAGACCAGCGACUGCUACACCCACCCGGGAGCCCCACACCUUCCUCAGUGGAGAGCAAAGCACAGCACACACUGUUACCAGGAGGAAAGGCAGAACAGGGUACAGAGGCUCAGGGUUUGGUGCCUGUUUUGGUGGAGUUAGAAGACCUGCAGUACACAUCUUGCACAGAUGAGAAGCAGCAUUGCAGCUGUUCUUGUCUUUUUUCCCCUCUGCAUUUUUUUUAAAGCAUUCUUAGCAUUUCCACUUUCUAGCUGAGGCUGCCUUCUAGAAAUCUGAGGAACUAUCAUCACUUUUUGAUUGUUGUUGAUUUCCAAAAUUUGCUUAUGCUCCUCUGCAUAAGCUCUGCAGGCUAAAUAUGUUAUUGGUUUGUUUUCAAAGAUUAAUCCAGUGUAGAGUCCCUCUUCUCCAACCCCCUGUUGCUGCUUCAGUGCUGUGGCUCUCUAUUUUGAUGCUGCUACACCGCAGCUUGUUCUUGUUGCUGCUCACAACUACAUCUCUUGAUGGGCUGGGAGCCACCUCCAGCUAUGCAAAUGGAGGUUUUAGGAGCACCUUCUCCAGAUUUUAAUCCUACGCAGUUAACUUCUCCUGGAAUCCAGGAUCUCUGUGGACAUGCCAGAUAUGCCUGCUGUAACUUGAAUUGGUGAUGUUCUUCCUCAUGUGCAGAAGGCGCAAUGUUUUUCUGGACUGAGUUGUGGUUCUGUGUUUUGUACUUUGUUUUAAAACUAAACUACCACAGCUUCAUGAUUUUUGUUUUAAAUGUGGCAAGCUCUGUAAGGGUUGGGUAAAGACUGACAGAUGUAAGACAUUUAAAAUUCACAUGGAAUACCAUUUUAUGCUUUCAAUUACCCUUCUCAUCUCUCUAAUAAUUUGUCAAACUGCCCGAUUUUAUCUCUGUGUUCAGAUUAUACCCAUCUUCCUGUUCUACUGCAAAUCCCCAUCCUAUAUACUUUGUAGUAAACUUUAUCUCAUUUUACAUUAUCAUUAAAUGACCUUUAUUUUCAAA